rnacentral:rRNA from 1 species
AUUCAACGCUGGCGGCGUGCCUCAGACAUGCAAGUCGAACGAUUAAAGCUCUCUUCGGAGAGUGCAUAGAGUGGCGCACGGGUGAGUAACACGUAAGUAAUCUACCCUCGAGUGGGGAAUAACGUCCGGAAACGGGCGCUAAUACCGCAUAAUGCAGCGGCAUCAUAAGAUGACAGUUGUUAAAGAUUUAUCGCUUGAGGAGGAGCUUGCGGCAGAUUAGCUAGUUGGUAAGGUAACGGCUUACCAAGGCUACGAUCUGUAACCGGUCUUAGAGGACGGUCGGUCACACUGACACUGAAUAACGGGUCAGACUCCUACGGGAGGCAGCAGUCGGGAAUUUUGGGCAAUGGGCGAAAGCCUGACCCAGCAACGCCGCGUGAAGGAUGAAGUAUUUCGGUAUGUAAACUUCGAAAGAAUAGGAAGAAUUAAUGACGGUACUAUUUAUAAGGUCCGGCUAACUACGUGCCAGCCGCCGCCGUAAGAC